GGGCACUAUGUGGGUUACACUGUUCCUCCCCUGCUGCUGCUACUGAUGUGCGUCUUUGCGGUUUUAGUUUAUAAGUGCAAACAUCAGAAAGCAAAAGACAAUGAAACUGUCAUGAACAUAAAUGCACAGAACGAAGACGCUUUAGAGGAAGUGAUGCGUGUGGCAGAAAAUAACAUUUAUGAAAGUCAAGAAGUUGUGAUAUACUCAAAUAAGUAGACGUCCGAACUGCAGAGUGCCAGUAAUGACUAUGAAGAUUUAGGUGAAGAUGAACCAGACUUAAACGUCACAACUGAAGAAAUCUUCUGUAAUGGAAAUUUCCAUACUGCCAAUUGAAGAUAAACAGUGUGUGCAUUUGAGGUCAAUCUUUGGCUCUCACCUGUAUGAUCAUCCUGUUUAAUUUGUCUUUAACAUUAACAGUUACACAGCUAAUCUUAAUGUACCAUAAUCCAGGCUUCUCACUCUCUCACUGAAAACAUUGAGAUUUUUGUUUAACCAUGACAAAGAGCUGCUAUUUAUACAUAUAUAGCUUCACUUCUUACUCAUUUGCUAUUACCCUUUCUUUCAUUUUUAUUGCUUAGUGUUAGCAACAUAAUCUACGCUGAUUUUCUGAAACUGUGGGAAACCUCAAAUGCAAAUGACUAACAUCAAUGUAAUGUAAAUAAAUCUGCAAAUUAAAAUAAAAUUUUAGUCAUUCUUGUCUGUUUUUGCCCCA